ensembl:lncRNA
AGGUGAUGAGCUCAAAGCAGAGAGAAAAAAGACCUUCAGUCAAUUUUCACGAUUAAAUCAAGCAAUUCUCUGUAUCUAUAAAAGCUGGAAACAGAUCAACACAUCCUGAUUGACAUCAUAAUAGUUUGCUACAGAAGAAAGAAGACAACAGAUGCCUCCAAAAAAACAAAGAAAGAUGUCUGACUCUCCUGAUGCAAUGCAGAACGAAACGUUCAAUCAAACUGUUGAAAAAUUAAGAACACUGUGUGAAGAAAAUGAAGAGCAAAAAAAGAAGAUCACUGGAGAGUUGCAAAACAUUGAAGAGAAAUAUUCAUUGAAGCUUUCAACUGAAGUGAAGGUAAGCUCAAUAUAAAUACAAGAAAUAGAAGAAGUGAAAAAUAAGCUAGUGGUUAGGUUGAGUCAUCCUCUCUUAUUAAAACAGUACAUACACCCCUCUUCAUGUCAAGGUAUAUAUUAUACGUUUAAAAUCGUUUCUCGGUGCAAAUUUAC